GCCGGCGUAGCUCAGGGGUAGAGCAGCUGAUUCGUAAUCAGCAGGUCGCGGGUUCAAAUCCCAUCGCCGGCUCCA
rnacentral:tRNA from 3 species